AGGAGCAUGUGGUUUAAUUCGAUGAUACGCGAGGAACCUUACCUGGGCUCGAACGUAAGAUGACUGUAGGUGAAAGCUUACAUCUCUUCGGAGCAUUUUACGAGGUGCUGCAUGGUUGUCGUCAGCUCGUGCCGUGAGGUGUCGGGUUAAGUCCCAUAACGAGCGCAACCCCUACCUUUAGUUGCCAUCAGGUAAUGCUGGGGACUCUAAAGGAACUGCCUACGCAAGUAGUGAGGAAGGCGGGGAUGACGUCAAAUCAGCACGGCCCUUACGUCCAGGGCUACACACGUGCUACAAUGGCCGAUACAGAGGGCAGCUACCUGGUGACAGGAUGACAAAUCUACCAAAGUCGGUCUCAGUUCGGAUCGGAGUCUGCAACCCGACUCCGUGAAGUUGGAUUCGCUAGUAAUCGCGCAUCAGCCAUGGCGCGGUGAAUACGUUCCCGGGCCUU
rnacentral:rRNA from 1 species